UAGGGAAUCUUUGGCAAUGGACGAAAGUCUGACCGAGCAACGCCGCGGGAGUGAAGAAGGUUUUCGGAUCGUAAAACUCUGUUGUUAGAGAAGAACAAGGACGUUAGUAACUGAACGUCCCCUGACGGUAUCUAACCAGAAAGCCACGGCUAACUACGUGCCAGCAGCCGCGGUAAUACGUAGGUGGCAAGCGUUGUCCGGGUUUAUUGGGCGUAAAGCGAGCGCAGGCGGUUUCUUAAGGCUGAUGUGAAAGCCCCCGGCUCAACCGGGGAGGGUCAUUGGAAACUGGGAGACUUGUGUGCAGAAGAGGAGAGUGGAAUUCCAUGUGUAGCGGUGAAAUGCGUAGAUAUAUGGAGGAACACCAGUGGCGAAGGCGGCUCUCUGGUCUGUACCUAUCGCUGAGGCUCGAAAGCGUGGGGAACAAACAGG
rnacentral:rRNA from 1 species